AACGAACGCUGGCGGCAGGCCUAACACAUGCAAGUCGAACGGACCCUUCGGGGUUAGUGGCGGACGGGUGAGUAACACGUGGGAACGUGCCUUUAGGUUCGGAAUAGCUCCUGGAAACGGGUGGUAAUGCCGAAUGUGCCCUUAGGGGGAAAGAUUUAUCGCCUUUAGAGCGGCCCGCGUCUGAUUAGCUAGUUGGUGAGGUAAUGGCUCACCAAGGCUACGAUCAGUAGCUGGUCUGAGAGGAUGACCAGCCACAUUGGGACUGAGACACGGCCCAAACUCCUACGGGAGGCAGCAGUGGGGAAUCUUGCGCAAUGGGCGAAAGCCUGACGCAGCCAUGCCGCGUGAAUGAUGAAGGUCUUAGGAUUGUAAAAUUCUUUCACCGGGGACGAUAAUGACGGUACCCGGAGAAGAAGCCCCGGCUAACUUCGUGCCAGCAGCCGCAGUAAUAC
rnacentral:rRNA from 1 species